AUUUACUGAGUUUAAAAAAAAAGUCAGGAUUACUCACACAGUCUUGAAGAUGCAAUGUCAGCUAUUUAGGACAAACACCCAAGGCCGUGUUAGAACUCAAUUACGACUACAUAUGCGUUAAAGCAGGAACUGGCAGGCCUCUGGACUACAGCAACUAUAGGACUCGUGCUUCUCGUACGCUGGGCUAUAAUUUAUGAAAACUGAGCCCCAGAUCCAGCCAAUCAUUUAGCUCCUCAUAACAAGUCUAACUGGCUCUGGAAAGCUGAAAGGACUGCGCUAGAACAACAAAGAUGAGAUAUUCCACACAAUAAUCUGCUUAUCUGGAAUCACUUUCCCUUGCCAGGCCAGAGAGAAAUCGCAGCUUCAUCGUCUGAGGAAAGGAGGACAGAUGACCCUGGAAAAUGCAACGACACCUGGAGCAAGAGCUUUUCCUGGCUUGGCAAUCCUAACAGUGCCGGCAUUAAAGGAGAGGGCUGCCCCUGGAAACCGAAGGGCAGCUACAGCAGUGAAAACCGGAGUGCUGCUGCCUACAGUGACUAUGUGAGAACCGAACCUUCUGAGGAAGCCAGCUCUGCCUUUUGAAUAGAGAACGAAGAGCUCCGCAUCCCGGGCGGCAUUUCAAGGUUUGAUUCAUCAGGCAAGUUCUCAAGGCUCAAUGUUGAUGGAUAGAUCCGCCCUGGAGCCAACGUUAAAGCCAGACCUUAGAUUUAUGAAAAUAAACCAAAACAAGCGAUGAGACAUUUUGAAAUGUAGAAACUAAGAGGAAAGAACAAGACUUCCCUUAGUUGGCUGGUACCUCAAGAUUCAUGUUCGAUAUUGUGAUGAUAGUGGCGUCCUUGUCCUGAUUUAAUGUGAAUGCUCCUGUUGUUUGCCCAUGGAGCAGGAGCUGGCUUUUGAGAAAAAAAUAUGGGCCAAUUCAUGGCUUUUGAAGAACAAGAGAAAAUCAUGGCCACGUGAAGGGAGAAGCCACAUUCAUGACUCUAAGUCUCGCUGGUUGGUUCAUGUAUCAUAGCAACCCUCUCCCCUGGACUCCUGGGACAUCCUCCUCUCUCCAGCGCCCUACGCCCACGCGAACACUUGAUGACAGAGUUUUUAGGCAAGCUUCUCCAUCUGCUGGCUAAGAGUGGCU
rnacentral:lncRNA from 1 species